CGAUCUGAUAUGUUUAAAAGUGCACAAUAUCCAAUCGAUGCCAGUGAAUCUGUUCAGCAAUACAAGGACUUCCAGCUGUUUCAUAGACUUGAGGAACAAGGAAUUUCUGUGGAACUUCCUUGGAAUAAAGUUUCAACACUAUUUAACAUGACAACAUUACUGGAGCAGUUGCAUGACACAGAAACUGCUAGCAUCUUUUACCGAUUUAACAUGGCAAGAUUACUGGAGCAGUUGCAUGACACAGAAACUGCUAGCAUCUUUUACCGCCUUAUCUUAUUUAAGGUAUGCAUGCAUGUCCAAUUGAUUAUGAGCUGGCGUAUUCGUGACUCCUAGCAUUGAUGAAGCUCAGUUUUCUU
rnacentral:lncRNA from 1 species